rnacentral:sRNA from 1 species
UAUGAGUUGCGUUAACGAUUGAAACGGCAUCCUUUUUUUCCUUUUCAGGAAAAAAGAUAUAGUGGAAAGCGUGUAUAAAC